AUGGAAAUUUUAGGAUCGGCCUUUACUUUGUUCUAUGGCGUCUUCUCAUCUUCCUCACUAUCUCUGAAACCGCACGAGUUAUGUGAUUAAUCAUAUUAAUUCAAUCAACCAGGACGAGGUCUUGAAUGUAUGAUUUACAUCAGUGAGGCGGUGUAUUGCGAGUAUAAAUAGCCGGCAGGUGUUCCUCUGUUGACGGUUGUCGAGGUUAGGUUGAUGUGGUUCUGGAAGGCGUGGUGGGGAGAUGUAAAUGGAGAAUCGUGUCUCAAGAACAUCUCUCUCUGAUGGUCUUGAUGGACUUGAGGAAGGCCACUUAAAGGCUUCCUCUUCGUAUUCUCAUGGUACAAGUGAACGGGCGAUGAUGAAUCACUGGAGAGUCUGCAGGACAGAGUUUAAUUUCUAAAGGUGGGAACGGAUCUGAACUCUUAAGAGUAUAUCAACAAGGAUUUGUGACUGGAGACAUACAUGAAGAAGUUGAGAGUUAUAACCGCUUGCUUGACAAAGUGGUAGACUGGUAGUUCACAAUGGAAGAAGACUCACGAGCCUGCACAGAAAACUGCUGCCAUUGUGACAACCCUAUUGAAAUUAGAGCCACAUGUGUUCCCAAAACAAUCAUGGAUGAGAUGUGUUUAGUUGUUUCUCCAUUUGGCUGAGUUUCCUCCCAUUAAAUAUGUGCGGUAAUUGAUCUGAAAUUAUGUGAACUUUACAGGAACAUUGGAGAAAACGAACGCUCUGGCUGAUGUCAUAUAAGUUCCUGGAGGCACUUGCUGUUAUUUUUAGAAAAUAUUUAAUAAAUUUGUUAUGUAAUAUUGGAAUCUUUUUAUUGUUCCAUUACUUAUUUAUCUAAUCUAUUAAAACAGGAGUACAAAAUUAAACUUA